rnacentral:lncRNA from 1 species
GGUCAGUCCAGUUUGGCUUCAGGUUCUAUUCUUCAAUACGUCCACUUAAUUCUGGACUCAACUUUCUCACUCUGACAAUUUCAGCCAACAAAUUCCUAGAAUAUGUUAUCUUGCAAAAGAAAGUGACAACUAUGACAUCUCAGUCCUUGAAGAGACCUGGUUAUCUUGCAACUGGACAAGGUUGGAUGCUGAAAACAGAAAGUUGUUUGAAAAUCUUUAGACCACCAGAAGGCCAGCUCCAACUCACCCUGACUACUGCUCUCAUCCUCUACUUAAGCUCAUUUGCUUCAAUCACCUGGCUUAUAUGGAGAAGGACACAAAACAACAUUUGGCGUCACUCAACUCCAGUGAUAAAAGUUAUUCCCCAAACCCCAGCUGAAUGGAUUCUAUUGGUCUGAAGGAUGGACAGAUGAGACUCUAUGUGUGUAUUUUAAUAUAAUGCACAGGAAGACAUGAAUACAUGGAACUACUAAUUCAGCAUUACUUUCAGAAAUGAUAGAAGCAUGUAACAGGGCAAAAAAAUGUGAAGAAAGUGUUUAUGCUGCCAGUAUUGUAAUCACAGUGUAUUCAAGGAACUCCACUGAUGUUUUAUAGAAUCCAGAUUUAUGAAGCCUGGAGAUUCACCAUAAACCUUAGCAUCAACUUGCUGAAGUGAAUAGAAAUGACAACAGAUUUCUCCUCAAUAGCAGUCAAAGCUUUAAGUCAAAUGACUAAGAUGUCAAGUAUUAAAUUGACAAUCAGUGAAUGUAUAAAAUCAUUUCCUUUCUGUUUAUACAGCAGAGCCUUCCAAUGCAUUUGAAAUCAAGCAUGGUAGACAAUUACCUACUUCAUGCCUAAUAUCUGGAAUGAGUCCCCUUUCAACUUGUCCCCUUUUGGGACCCCUCUUUGUGACAGUUCUUAAACAAUGUUUCUGACCUUCUUGCCUCUAUUCUUCAUUCUAUAGCCCCAAUUUACUCUUGCCUGCAACUUCACAUGUACUUGUGACCUCCUGCCCUAGUUAUAUUAAAAGCUGUCCCUCAAUUGUCUACUCUGACUUGGCAUCCAUUUUGUUCCUGUUAUUUUGUCCUGAUGACUCUAGCUCUCCUUAAAAUUUUUCAUAAAACUCACAUCUCUCUGCAUUAUUAUCUCUGAAUAAUGCACAUAAUUCAUGCCUUAGUUACCUGGCCCAGCUUCUCUCUUUUGCUGCUUGCAGCAUGCUAUAAAAAUGAUAGUUCUCUUGUAUUGCUCAAAAUCUGACUUAUAAUUUGUUGUUUGCAUCAAGAAUUUGCAAUCUCUACUGUCUUUAUUUCCACAGUAUCUGCAGAUUCUAUCACACCCACUCCCCUGAUUUUCCCAGUGCCAGUG